CUUAAUACAAGACAUAACUAACAUAAAGUCCCAAAACUAUGGUCCAAAACGGUCGUUUUAUAUGAAUGUUACGAAUCUAAAACGUGUUCGUAAAGCGAGCACUAACGCGCAUGCGCAAGCAAAUACUACGCUUAAAAGUCAUAUAAGAUUAACUAUAGUGUCCUUUAACAAACUAUGCAUAAUUCUCGACAUCCUCCGGGGGGAGGGAAAGUUUCUGUGUCCAACGCGCAAUUCGUUCGCGUCCUUUUACAGCAGCCUCUCUCCUCGGGCGAUGUGGGGGUUCCGAGGCUGGUGGUGGUUUCUCUGAUGAUAGGAUGGGUUUUGCUUCCUGUUUGGUUGAAACUUCGAGAGGGUAGAGACGAGCAAUAGGUCGGUUGGUUCUACCAGUGCUAGUACGAAUAUCAGCAGAUCGAAUCAGUCCAUCGUUUCCACUAACGAGGUUCUCAAUUACGGCAAGUCUCCAGUUGGCUCUGGGACCAUCAUCGUGAACUAACACAACGUCACCUUGCUUGACUUUCUGUUCGUUUGUGCCUGUUGUUUUGUGGAAUUCACGAAGUGAGGUGAGAUACUCGUGCCUCCACCGCAUCCAAAAGGAUUGUAUUAUUAUCGAUUGUUUCCUGGCUCUUUCUCGAACUUCGGAAUCGUCGUCGAAAUUGGGAUCGUGUAGUUCCUCUUCUUCAACGAUUAGGCGAGGUAAUCUUCUGACGCGUCGUCCGUAGAGAAGGUGGGAAGGUGUCAAGGGUUCUGGAUCGUCGGCUUCGGAUGUGACAUAGGUUAUAGGGCGGUCAUUGAGGACAGCUUCGAUCUCGACUAUGAUCGUUUGUAGACCCUCUAGGUUUAUAUAUGCGCGUCCAAGGAUCUUCUUCAAGGUGGUUUUGGUUAGACCAAUCAAGCGCUCCCAGAAUCCUCCAAACCAAGGCGCCCUUUUCGGAAUGAAUUGCCAUUCUACUCCUCGUUUGCUGAGAGAGUCGUGCAGUGCUUGUGAAUUGAAGAGAGCUCUAAGUUCGUCUGCAGCCGAUAAGUAAGUUGAUGCGUUAUCCGAGAUCAUCCUUUGUGGCAACGAUUUGCGACUUGCAAAUCUCCUGAAUGCGUUCAGAAAACACUCAGUGGAUAGGUCUGUCACAAUCUCUAAAUGUACAGCUCUGGUUACAGCACAUGUGAAGAGGCAGAUGUACACCUUCGUUUCGCCAUUGUUAUCACGUACGUAAAGGGCUCCGGUGAAGUCAACGCCGGUUGUCGUAAAGGGUUCUGUCUCGGUUGUUCUCGACUUGGGAAGUGGAGGUGGAUCGGGGCGUGUAUAGGCAGUCCCAGUGACCUUACGACAAUUUACGCACCGUCUCAACAAUUUUCUCACAUACUGGCGGAUGGAUGGGAUCCAAUAGGUCUGACGUAAUGUGGUCAUUGUGGAGUUCACACCACUGUGGAGUAUGUUUUCAUGGGCGUUGUAUACGACAAGAUCUGUGAAAGGAUGGUUCUUAGGUAGGAGGUAUGGAAACUUCGCUGACGUGCUUAAUGGCGCGUUGUGAAUCCUCCCGCCACAACGAAGCAAAUUGUCGGUGUCGAGGAAAAGACGCAGUUGUCGUAUGAGUGGUAAUCUUCGGGAUGUUUUGGAAGACAGGUUCUCGAUUUCCUCGGGGAAGGUAGUACUUUGACAGGAAUGUGUCCAUAUCUGCUCGGCGAGGUUCAAUUCUUUCGCGGUGAGGGGUCCAGAAGUGUCGCUUUUGUCUUUCCUUAGGAGAGCAAUGAAUCGCAGGACGUAGGCUGUAACUCGUAGUAGGUGAUUCAGUUUGCUGUACUUCUCGAUGUCAAUGAUGCGGUGUAUUCCGGGUUGGCGAUGUUCCGUGGGAAUGCUGUCUCUUUCGGUUGCGUUGUGGUUGAUUUCUUCUGAUGAAAUUGCUAGUGUCAGAGUAGGGGAUAAGUCGGUUGAGGACCACGUCGGCCACUUGGACUCGCACGUUAACCAAGGUGGACCCUGUUUCCAAAGGACUGAAGAACAAAGUUGGGUUGCACUUAAGCCUCUCGUAAGUAGAUCCGCCGGAUUAUCGUUGGUUGGACAAUAUCCCCAUGUUGCCUUGGGAAGUAGAUCUUUGAUUGUUUGAACACGGUUUGUGAUGAACUGGCUUAGACGUUUGUUGCUGGACAACCAAUGUAAGACUAUUUGACUGUCCGUCCAAAGUCUCACAGUGAGGUCACUGUACAUGGUAGUUGUAGCAAGUGCGUUCUUGACAUAGCUGGCCAACUGUGCGGCGGUGACAGCACCCAUAAGCUCGAGUCUAGGUAGGGUUAGUUUCUUCAGGGGUGCAACACGUGUUCUAGCCACAAGAAUUGCGAUUUGCGGACCGUGUCGGAGAUAAGCAACGGCGCCAUAGGCCUUUAUACUUGCAUCCGAGAAGACAUGGAGCUCGGGCUUGGUAUUGUUAGGAAUGAUUGUGAUGGGGCAUCUCGGAACGUUCAUGGUCUCUGAAACAAUGUCGAUAUCUUCGGCUAUGCUUAACCACUUCUCGCUCAGUUCUUGUGAAAGUGGUUCGUCCCAUUCGAUAUUUUGUAGCCACAAUUCUUGCAUGAGUAACUUAUCUCUAAUAGUAACCGGGGAUAACAGGCCCUGUGGGUCAUAGAUCUUCGAGGAAUUGCUGAGGACUUCUCUUUUGGUCGGUAAGUUGAGGGAUGGGGAGAUGUGCUUAGGGGUGAGGGACAAAGUGUCUGUCAACGUAUUCCACUGGAGGCCGAGAACAUUAACAGUAGUUUUAGUAUCAGCAGUUCCUUCUUGUAGACAGAGGCUCUUAAGUUGUGGACUGUUGGAUGCCCAAGCUCGAAGGUUGAAGUUACCAGAGGACAUAAUGGAUCGCGCCGACUUGUAAUAGUGGGUGACAUCAUUUUCGGUGGGCUGUCCGGAAAUGAGAUUAUCAACAUAUAGGUUUUCUUUCAUGUCGGUAGCAAUCUUUGAACUGUAUUGGUCGAGGUGGGAUUCGAGUGCUGAGCUGAGCAUUAAUGGUGAGCAUGUAGCACCAAACAACACAACUUUGAAUCGGUAGGCUUGAAACACGCUUUCGGGAUCAUCAGGUUGGGAAAGCCACAGGAAUCGGGUACAGUCUCUGUCAUCUUCGUGGAGUUGAACAUGUAGAAAUGCCUUCUCUAUAUCGGUGGAAAAUGCAAAUGGGUGGGUUUGAAAGCGCAGAAGAAUUGAAAACAUAUCAUUUAGCGAUGGUGGCCCUGGCAGAAGACAAUCAUUCAAACUUGGGUGGUCUGUUGACUGGCGGCAGCUACAGUCAUAUACAAUGCGAAUAGGUGUGGUGGUAGAGUCCUUUUUUACAGGGUGGUGGGGGAUGUAGUGGAUCUUAUCUGACAUGUUGGUCGUAGACACCUUUUCAAUGAAUGCUUUCUCUUCUUGUUCUGCAAUGAUGUCACUAUAGGUCUUCAAGAGUUUGGGGUCCUGUCCAAGGCGACGAGCUAGAAGUCGUGUUCUCUUCGCACAUACAGCGUAGUUGGAUGGUAGUGGGCGAUGCUCCGUCCUCCAUGGAAAUCUUGCACAAUAAGUGCCAUCAGGAGAGCGAGUGAUGUUAGUUUCCUUGAAGUUCCCAAUCGCAGUCUGGUCGUUGGUUUCUGUGGGGGUCAUUAACAAAUCUAAAGGUGGUGGAUCCCAAAACCGAUUGGGGUCCAUGCUCUCUACUUGAUGAUGAGGCAUGGUAAUGACAUUUAACAUGGUGGUGUUUGAUGGGGCUUCUCCCCGGGGUAAGGGUCCCGAUAGCAGAUAUCCAAGUUUAGACUCCAUAGCUGUUGGAUCAGCUCCUCUGAUAAUAUGGUCUUGGACUAUUUCCCAGUAGUAAUUUGCUCCAAUCAAGAGCGAGACUUCAAAUUUCUCGUCUGAGGUGAUUGGGUGGGCGAGUGGGAUUCCCUUUAGGUAUGGGAGAGUCCGGACGUUGGUGUGAAUACGAUUUUGCAAAGGUGUGGCAAUCUUUGGAACGACCAAAACACUAACUGGUAUUUUCUCACUUGUGAUGCUUUCGAUGUUGAUGGUAACGGUUUCUAAUGUGUGACUGGUUGGUU